rnacentral:rRNA from 1 species
AUACGUAGGUGGCGAGCGUUGUCCGGAUUUACUGGGCGUAAAGGGAGCGUAGGCGGAUUUUUAAGUGAGAUGUGAAAUACUCGGGCUUAACCUGAGUGCUGCAUUUCAAACUGGAAGUCUAGAGUGCAGGAGAGGAGAAGGGAAUUCCUAGUGUAGCGGUGAAAUGCGUAGAGAUUAGGAAGAACACCAGUGGCGAAGGCGGAUUGCUGGACGACAACUGACGGUGAGGCGCGAAAGCGUGGGGAGC